rnacentral:rRNA from 1 species
CGCGUAGGUGGUCCUUCAAGUCAGAUGUUAAAUCUCCCGGCUUAACUGGGAGCUGUCAUCUGAUACUGCUGGACUUGAGGGCGGUAGAGGGAGGUGGAAUUCCCGGUGUAGUGGUGAAAUGCGUAGAUAUCGGGAGGAACACCAGUGGCGAAAGCGGCCUCCUAGGCCGUUCCUGACACUGAGGCGCGAAAGCGUGGGGAGCGAACAGGAUCAGAUACCCUGGUAGUCCACGCCCUAAACUGUGGAAACUAGGUACAGGGAGUAUCGACCCUUCCUGCGCCGUAGCUAACGCGUUAAGUUUCCCGCCUGGGGACUACGGUCGCAAGACUAAA